GGGCUACCAUGCAGUCGAACGAUGAAGCCCAGCUUGCUGGGUGGAUUAGUGGCGAACGGGUGAGUAACACGUGAGUAACCUGCCCUUAACUCUGGGAUAAGCCUGGGAAACUGGGUCUAAUACCGGAUAGGAGCGCCUACCGCAUGGUGGGUGUUGGAAAGAUUUAUCGGUUUUGGAUGGACUCGCGGCCUAUCAGCUUGUUGGUGAGGUGAUGGCUCACCAAGGCGACGACGGGUAGCCGGCCUGAGAGGGUGACCGGCCACACUGGGACUGAGACACGGCCCAGACUCCUACGGGAGGCAGCAGUGGGGAAUAUUGCACAAUGGGCGCAAGCCUGAUGCAGCGACGCCGCGUGAGGGAUGACGGCCUUCGGGUUGUAAACCUCUUUCAGUAGGGAAGAAGCGAAAGUGACGGUACCUGCAGAAGAAGCACCGGCUAACUACGUGCCAGCAGCCGCGGUAAUACGUAGGGUGCGAGCGUUAUCCGGAAUUAUUGGGCGUAAAGAGCUCGUAGGCGGUUUGUCGCGUCUGUCGUGAAAGUCCGGGGCUUAACCCCGGAUCUGCGGUGGGUACGGGCAGACUAGAGUGCAGUAGGGGAGACUGGAAUUCCUGGUGUAGCGGUGGAAUGCGCAGAUAUCAGGAGGAACACCGAUGGCGAAGGCAGGUCUCUGGGCUGUAACUGACGCUGAGGAGCGAAAGCAUGGGGAGCGAACAGGAUUAGAUACCCUGGUAGUCCAUGCCGUAAACGUUGGGCACUAGGUGUGGGGACCAUUCCACGGUUUCCGCGCCGCAGCUAACGCAUUAAGUGCCCCGCCUGGGGGAGUACGGCCGCAAGGCUAAAACUCAAAGGAAUUGACGGGGGCCCGCACAAGCGGCGGAGCAUGCGGAUUAAUUCGAUGCAACGCGAAGAACCUUACCAAGGCUUGACAUGUUCUCGAUCGCCGUAGAGAUACGGUUUCCCCUUUGGGGCGGGUUCACAGGUGGUGCAUGGUUGUCGUCAGCUCGUGUCGUGAGAUGUUGGGUUAAGUCCCGCAACGAGCGCAACCCUCGUUCCAUGUUGCCAGCACGUAAUGGNGGGGACUCAUGGGAGACUGCCGGGGNCACUCGGGAGAAGGUGAGNCGACGUAUCAUCAUGCCCUGCUUGGGCUUCACGCAUGCUACAGGUGGCGAAUACUAGGGGUGGACUUAUUCCCAAAAA
rnacentral:rRNA from 1 species